rnacentral:sRNA from 12 species
UGACCAUCCGCGGCGCGCGGAUCGAGGCUACACGGACGGCCGGGUCAAAUGCCGA